GAAGAUGGCUCAGUGGUAGAGUGCUUGCCUUGCAUGCAUGAGGCCCUGGGUUCAAUCCCAGAGUUCA
rnacentral:tRNA from 1 species